AUGAAGUUCCGAUUUCACUACUACUCGUUGUCACUUUCAGAUUUUCGCAGAAUAAUAGAGAAAAAGAUGAACACGAACGCGGAGAUUCAGAGUUUAGUGAAACUUAACCUCUGGAGCAAAACCGGUGGUUUAUUUUUUAAUCGCGACAAAGAUGAUGCGAUGAUCAUAGAUGACUCGGUGCAGAAUGUUGUGGAUGAAAUUGUUACGAAACCGAAUGAAGGUUGA